GAUCAUGGCUCACGAUGAACGCUAGCGGCAGGCCUAAUACAUGCAAGUCGAACGGGAUAGGCUCCUUCGGGGGCCUUGAGAGUGGCGCACGGGUGCGCAACGCGUAUGCAACCAACCCCCGACGGGCGGAUAGCCGGUGGAAACGCCGGAUAAUACGCCAUGGUUCCGGUGGAGGGCAUCCUCUACUGGAUAAAGCUACGGCGGUCGGGGACGGGCAUGCGUCCCAUUAGAUGGUAGGCGGGGUGACGGCCCACCUAGUCCACGAUGGUAGGGGAUCUGAGAGGACGGUCCCCCACACUGGUACUGAGACACGGACCAGACUCCUGCGGGAGGCAGCAGUAAGGGAUAUUGGUCAAUGGGCGGAAGCCUGAACCAGCCAAUGCCGCGUGAGGGAAUGAGGCCCUACGGGUCGUGAACCUCUUUUAUUCGGGGACAAGGACGCGGUCGUGAACCGUGUUUGAGGGUACCGAAGGAAUAAGCGUCGGCUAACUCCGUGCCAGCCGCCGC
rnacentral:rRNA from 1 species